GUAUUUUUGAAGUGGUAAAACUACAGCCUUCCAAGCUGUUGUCGCGAGUUCGAUUCUCGUCACCCG
rnacentral:tRNA from 1 species